AACGAACGCUGGCGGCAUGCCUAACACAUGCAAGUCGAACGAGACCUUCGGGUCUAGUGUCGCACGGGUGCGUAACGCGUGGGAACCUGCCCCUAGGUUCGGAAUAACUCCCCGAAAGGGGUGCUAAUACCGGAUAAUGUCUUCGGACCAAAGAUUUAUCGCCUUUGGAUGGGCCCGCGUUGGAUUAGCUAGUUGGUAGGGUAAAAGCCUACCAAGGCGACGAUCCAUAGCUGGUCUGAGAGGAUGAUCAGCCACACUGGGACUGAGACACGGCCCAGACUCCUACGAGAGGCAGCAGUGGGGAAGAUGGAACAAUGGGCGAAAGCCUGAUCCAGCAAGGCCGCGUGAGUGAUGAAGGCGUUAGGGUUGUAAAGCUCUUUUACCCGGGAUGAUAAUGACAGUACCGGGAGAAUAAGCUCCGGCUAACUCCGU
rnacentral:rRNA from 1 species